UACGUAGGGGGCAAGCGGUUGUCCGGAUUUAUUGGGCGUAAAGAGCGUGUAGGCGGCCAGACAGGUCCGUUGUGAAAACUCGAGGCUCAACCUCGAGACGUCGAUGGAAACCGUCUGGCUAGAGUCCGGAAGAGGAGAGUGGAAUUCCUGGUGUAGCGGUGAAAUGCGCAGAUAUCAGGAAGAACACCUAUGGCGAAGGCAGCUCUCUGGGACGGUACUGACGCUGAGACGCGAAAGCGUGGGGAGCGAACAGG
rnacentral:rRNA from 1 species